CCCUGCGAGCUCGCCGGGAGGGUUUGGAACUUGCUGGGCUGAGCCGCCCGCCCCCAGGCAGCCUGCCUACGCCCUGCCCCGGCCGGCCAUGCCUCUGACCCAGCCAGCGACCUUGACGCCGUCUCCCCUAACGGUACCGCCUGGCGCACGCGGUCCCGAGCAGAAGGACUUGGCUCGGAAUUCCACUCCUGCCACUAACUACCUGUGUGACGCCGACGGAGGCAGUUCGUGUCGGCGAGCUUCAGUUUCCUCAGCGAUAAAAUGAAGUCGUUUAUGCCAACUCCAAACGCUAUUCUCCCUUCUGCAGAGUGGAUCGGAGGGACUCCAUUCUCCUUUCCCAAGCAGGCUCCCUCCUCAGUUAACGCCGACUCUCGGAGAAUAGGUUAAAGGGCUCCCGACGCUUGGGGACAAACAGAAGCCUGGCCUGAAGUGGAAGGUUACAGCUGGCGUUAUUUCUUUGUUAUUGUCAUGCAAACCCUCUUCCGGAGGGGCCACUGUGAUAAGAGAAACUGAGUCACAGAGAAGUUAGUAAGUUGCCCAGGGCCACACAGCUCUGAAGGAUCUGAGGCGGAAUUCCAAUUCAAGUCUUCCUGAUGCUCAGGCCAGCUCUCUAAUAACUACUAUACAAACAUCUCUGUACUAUGUCCUCCCACCAGAAUACAGGCUCUGCCUCUGGGGGCCUAAAUGCUAAUACGCUGAGCAUCCUGAAUUCCUUCAACUGAUCUUCAUAAAAGAUCCUCCAGUUUAUCAGUGACUCUCUUCAGGUCCUCCCCAAGGAGGGAUUGGAGACUAGGGGUUGGGGUUGUUGAUAUAAACAGUUUGAUUUAAAUUAAAUUAAAAAUAAAAAACAAUUUGAUUAAAAAUAUUCCAUAAUUCAUGGCCCCAUGUGAAACCUACUGAUUUGUCAAAGAAGAUUUGGAGUACUGGGCAGAGAAGAUUCACUUAUUUCUUAUCUAAUCAGUGAAGAUUCUUCUCUGUGUUAGGCAUCAUCUCAUAUUCAGGUCCUGAAUCCUUCUUUUUUUGCCCUCCAUCAUCAGAAGCCCCCUUCCUAGCCAGUUUCAUGUCUGCUACCACUAGGAAAAGAGGGUGCUUCGUUUUCAGAAAGUGUUCCAAACAUCAUUUGAUCGAGGAUGCUUGGAAGUCAGAAAACUGCAAACAACCUGCUGUAUCAUUCCCCAAGAAUCCAUAUUCCAAGGAAAACUGAACAUGUCACCCAUUUUGCAAGAGUAUGUGUCAAAAGAAAAAAGAGUAAAUAAAAACAUUGUUGGGUUUUGUCCUUCGUUUUCAAAGAGGACCAGUAAUGUCAUGGGGAGAUGUCUUGACUUGCUGAGGAAUUAGGUUUAAGGGAGGCAGUUACACAAAGCCAUUAGUCUCACUCUCUCUUCCAGGCAUCCAAGUCCAGUGGCAGGACAAAAGUCAAGCCAACUGGCAAUGGAUGGCCUGGGAUGUAGUGGAUGUCUUUGUUGUCUUCUAUUACUGGCCAAGCAAGCUCUAGGCUCCUCUGUGCCAGCAUCCGCCACCUUCACGGCUGCCAUCCACCCAUUCCCAUAAGGGGAAAUCUUCACGUGCUUGGGUAGUCAUCCCCCUAACUCACCAAUGGGUUUGAAGCCUGUUGGUUAUCCUCAACCUGGUUUCUGCCAAGAGGGUUUUAUUGGUGUGUGGCCACUACAUCUGAUUUAGCUUCCUAGUUGAGUGAAAAGUGGUCACCAAAGGCGCCCCACACCAGAGGUGCCCAUCCUUCCUGAACACCUCAAACCCCAUAAAACAAAUUAAU